AGAGCAGGAGGCUUCCAUCCACCCUUUCCAUCGCAACGCGGGAGCCCCCUCCUCAGAACCUACAUAAGGCACCGAAGCGCAGCCCAGUACGCGCGGGGACCCAUCUGGCCCAGCCCCAGGAAAGCAGCCACCGAGGGCAGACGCGCGCCUUACCUGCUACCAAGAGAUCAGCUGUCUAAACAGCAGCUUUUUUGAUUGUUGGGCUUCCUGAAAGAAACCUUGCUGACAGCUUCUCACUGACCUGCAGGACGGAACCGUACCUGAGAGGGGAUGGGGGCUCUCUCACAAAAGAAUAUUUGGGGCAGAACCCUGGAACUGGCCACCAGGGACAUCCCAAAUAUCCCCUCCUCCUCAGGGCUCACCCCGACAUCCUCAGCCAAAUGAAGGCUCUGAACCCAGCCAUCAGCUCGCAAGGCACAACUCACUUUGCAGGCUAAUCAAAAUGCUUUCUGAAGAAAAGAAAACUAAUUAUCCCACGGCUCUAUUUUUUGUUGUCGUUCUGUUUGAAAUAACUAUGAAGUCUUCACUCUGCCUAACACUAGGCCCCAACCCGCUGUUUCUUUCCACUUUUCAUCUUGCAAAACCAGUGCCUCCAACCUCUCUGGGGCUCACACAUCCCAUCAAUUUAUCAGGGACACAGUAGCAUGUUUAACCCUUUAGCCCUAGGCAGAAGUUCAUCCAGGGGAGUGGGAAAGUAGAGGCUGCUAUUCUGUACUGCUUUUAUUGGGGGGUGCUGGCAGUGGUUAGUUUGAAAAACGUUUGCUGUACGUUGCAUCAGAGGUCACAUUCAUGGGACAAGCUUUGAUUAACAAAUAAUAUAAGAAUUCCCUCUUUUCUUCUCUUACUUCCUACCUGCCUUUAUUUAUUUAUUUUUGCAUUCACAAAACUAAAGAGAAAGUCACUCCACAGAACACGAAUGGAAUAAAAGGCCAACCAUUCUACCUUUCCAAUCCUCACUCUCCCUUUCCCAUUCUUUACUGUUGCGUCAAGCAAUCUGCUGUACGGACGGGUUCGCACUGCUUUCCUUUAUUUUUUUUUCUCUUGCUGGCAUUAGAAAAGCCUGUAAAUAACCCAAGAAGAGGAGAGAAUUUUUUCCUUCAGCUCAUUUUCAUAAGAAACAUGAUACAUAAUACAUGGCACUUUAAUAAGACUUUAUCUGAACGGUUUAAUGAAAAACAA
rnacentral:lncRNA from 1 species